UGGGGAAUUUUGGACAAUGGGCGCAAGCCUGAUCCAGCCAUUCCGCGUGAGUGAAGAAGGCCUUCGGGUUGUAAAGCUCUUUCGCAAGGGAAGAAACGAUUUAGGUGAAUAAUCUAAGUUAAUGACGGUACCUUGAUAAGAAGCACCGGCUAACUACGUGCCAGCAGCCGCGGUAAUACGUAGGGUGCGAGCGUUAAUCGGAAUUACUGGGCGUAAAGCGUGCGCAGGCUGUUUUGUAAGUCAGAUGUGAAAUCCCCGAGCUCAACUUGGGAACUGCGUUUGAAACUACAAGACUAGAAUAUGUCAGAGGGGGGUAGAAUUCCACGUGUAGCAGUGAAAUGCGUAGAGAUGUGGAGGAAUAUCAAUGGCGAAGGCAGCCCCCUGGGAUAAUAUUGACGCUCAUGCACGAAAGCGUGGGGAGCAAACA
rnacentral:rRNA from 1 species